AACGAACGUUAGCGGCGCGCCUAACACAUGCAAGUCGCACGAGAAAGGGAGCAAUCCCCGGUACAGUGGCGCACGGGUGAGUAACACGUAGGUAAUCUGCCUCCGAGUGGUGGAUAACCUUCCGAAAGGAGGGCUAAUACAGCAUGAGACCACGACCACGAGAGUGGAUGGGGUCAAAGCCGGCCUCUAUACAUAAGCUGGCGCUUGGAGAUGAGCCUGCGGCCCAUCAGCUAGUUGGUAGGGUAAUGGCCUACCAAGGCAAAGACGGGUAGCUGGUCUGAGAGGAUGAUCAGCCACACUGGAACUGAGACACGGUCCAGACUCCUACGGGAGGCAGCAGUGGGGAAUCUUGCGCAAUGGGCGAAAGCCUGACGCAGCGACGCCGCGUGGGUGACGAAGGCCUUCGGGUUGUAAAGCCCUGUGGGGGAGAGAAUAAGUGGGUGCGAAUAGCACACAUGAUGACGGUAUCCCCUUAGCAAGCACCGGCUAACU
rnacentral:rRNA from 1 species